UGUAACAUCGUGCAGUUAAUUUUCAACCCAUAAGAGAGAGCAACUGGAUAUUUAUUAUAUAUAUAAAUAACAAAUUCUAUGCUACGGGUGUUCCUCUUGGAGUUGGUUUGCCUUUUGCACCUGUAAACUUUGGAACGUUAUGUUCUACAAUUAAUUAAGAUUAGUCAACAAUUAAGAGAGAUUUGAACUUAUAUCCUUUGCUUACUGAAAAGAUAAGUCGUCUCCUAUGGUGUUUUAGCUGUUAACCUUUCAUCUUGGAGGCUCUUGUGGUUAAUUAAGGAACAUUAGAAGAGCUCCGGAUACCAUUAAAUUAUGAGAUUUUGGAGCAUUGGUUGUAAUAGUCCUCAUUUGCCCCCGGAAAGUAGCUGUGCCUAUGGUUCUAAAGUAAGCAUGAAAGUACCUUCUUUUUUAUUGGGAACGAAGACAGUGUGCUGAAAAAAGGAUUUAUGACAAUCAACUGAUUGUUGUCCCACAAAUGAGAAGGAAUUGCAGUUAAUUUU
rnacentral:lncRNA from 1 species